UUAAUUACCAUUGGCUUGGGGAUAUAUAUAUAUAUAUAUUUUUUUAAGAAGACAUUUUUUUUUCCUGGGGGAAAAACACGCAGUAGCUAUAAUUAGUUGGGAAGAGGAAAGAAGAACAGAGUGUGUGAAUCACCAGCCCCAGCGACAGACAGAGCUGAGCAGAAGUUUCAAGAGAACUGCUGGGGUGUGGGUGAGUUGGAAGGUGUGGCAUAGGGAUGGUGCGCUGUCCUCAGGCUGGCUUGUGUCCUUGAACAUGGGGCACAGGUUGGGUACCUUUAACUGUCACCCUUUUGCUCCACCCCUACUGAGACUGUCACCUGACACCCCAUCAGGGCACAGGUUUCAGUUCUGCUCCCUCAUGCUCUGACCUUCCCCAGGGCUUCUGCCCAGUUCACUCAUGCCAAGGCCAAUGCCAGUCCUUGCUGACAUGUAUCUGGGCAGAGAGGCUCAAAGCUUGGAUGAAGCAUGGAAGGUUUGGGCUGCUAGGGAUUUGAAGAUCUUUUUCUUUCUUUCUUUCUUUCUUUUUUAUGGAUACCAAGGGUUGAACCCACGGGUAUGUUAACACUGAGCUACAUCCCCAGUCCUUUUUAUCUUUUAUUUUGAGAUANUUUUUCUUUCUUUCUUUCUUUCUUUUUUAUGGAUACCAAGGGUUGAACCCAGGGGUACGUUAACACUGAGCUACAUCCCCAGUCCUUUUUAUCUUUUAUUUUGAGAUAGGGUCUAGUUGCUGAACAUCUUGCUGAGUUUCUGGGCUGACUCUGAACUUCUGAUCCUCCUGCUUCAGUCUCCUGAGUUGCUGAGAUUACAGGCAUGCACCACUGUACCCAGCUGAUUUGAAGACCAUCUAACCAAACUCUUCAUUCAUUUGUUCACUUGUUCAGCAAACACUGAGCUAGUAUUGUGUGCCUGGCCCACAGACAAGUGAACUGAAGUCCAGGGAAGUGCCAGGCUUAGUCCAAGUCCACACAGCUUUGAGCAGAGCAACCUUUCUGCCUGUCUAUCAUCAUAGCUCUGCCAAGCCAGACCCUGGGUAGGGAUCUGGGUCACCAAAGUGACCACAGCCAGGCCUCAUUCUCACUGAGCCUGUGUCCUGAAGGAGAGGCAACCAGCCACCUGCAAGACAGGAAAUAGGAGGCAGCUCCUGAAUUAUUCUGGUGGUCACAGAGGACUUCAUGGGGAGGAAGUGAAAGGUGUCCAAAGGCUAGAAGCACAAUGAGAAUGGCCUUCCUGCUGGUAGGGAUAUUAAGUGACUUUGUGUCUGGGUUUAGACAGUAGCAGGAAUUAGAGUCAGGUGGUUGCUGGAGAAUAUGGUUUCUUGAGUCAGGUCAUUACAAUGACCAAUUCCCUGUGUUUCUCCUAAGCAUCCUACAGGGCACAAGCUGCUGGCCAGGAGCACCUUAGGACAGUACUCACACAUGACCCUGGUUCUUGGAGACCUCUGCUUGUUCUUUUCAUGUCUGAGGGCCACUGCCCCAAGGGAGCCCUUUUUUUUUUUUUUUUUUUUUUUUUUUUUUUAAUAUUUAUUUAUUUUUUUAGUUUUCAGUGGACACAACAUCUUUGUUUGUAUGUGGUGCUGAGGAUCGAACCCGGGCCGCACGCAUGCCAGGCGAGCGUGCCACCGCUUGAGCCACAUCCCCAGCCCCCAAGGGAGCCCUUGUCUGAACAGUCAAUGGCUAAGGAAGUUGGGCCCCUGGUUUCUCCCUCCCUCCCUCCCUCUUCCCUGGCUGAGCCCUGGCCAUUCAACUCUUUAGGGGUCCCAGACCCCAGGAGGUACACUGGAGUAGUGUGGCCUAUGAUUGAGAGCAGAGGUCCUGAGUCCCCAGGGAAGGGAUGCUUCGUCUACCGGGAGAAAAUGGUAUUAUUUGGCAUACAGAGUGCUCCUUCCUAACCCCAGACCAAAUUAGCCCUCCAAAUUACAGGCUGCAUUUCCUCCAAAUUGGAGAUUGGGUGGGAGAACCCAAGCUCAGCUCUCCUUCUUGCUUCCUGUUCACAGAGGGCCCUCAGCUGGCACAAUCCCAAGUAAAAGGAUCACGUUAGAAAAGCAUUCUAGGGGCUGGGGAUGUGGCUCAAGCGGUAGCGUGCUUGCCUGGCAUGCGUGCGGCCCAGGUUCAAUCCUCAGCACCACAUACAAACAAAGAUGUGACCGCUGAGAAAUGAGAAAUAAAUAUUAAAAAAAUUCUCUCUCUCUCUCUCUCAAAAAAAAGAAAAAAGAAAAAGAAAAAGGUAAUGGGAGGAGGCUGGGGUGCCGUGGCUCAUGCCCGCAAUCCCAGCGACUCUGGAGGCUGAGACAGGAGGAUCGCAAGUUCAAACCCUCAGGAACUUAGAGAGGCCCUAAGCAACUCAGCAAGACCCUGUCUCAAAAUUUAAAAUAAAAAAGGGUUGGGAAUGUGUGGCUCCAUGGUUAAGCACCACUGGAUUCUAUCCCUGGUAUAAGAAGAAGGAGGAGAAGGAGAAGGAGAAGGACUACUGAGUGGAGGCACUGGUUCAUAGAGAUCUGGGGACCUUAUCAGUCAGCCAUGUUGGGAGCAUUGGAUCUCCUCAGGAAGGAAGGAAGAGGUCUGUGAUCAGGGGAAUGGCAUGAGUGCACUCAGAAGUAGGACUGAACCCAUCACCCCACCUGAGGACUCUUGGUAAGUGGAAAGGAUGUGGAAGGCAGAAGAGGAGGCCCCUGGGAUCUCCCACACUGGCCUCCCUCGGUCUCUUUCCAGAUGUCCUCGAGCCUCUGGAGAAAUACUUAAAUUUCCUUCAAGGAAAGCAUGGGAACAUGCAUCCUGAAAUUAAGGUGACUUCCUAUGGUUUUGCAAAUUGGUUACAGACUUUUAGUGGUUUUGUUUGAAAAGAAAAUUAUUGUAGAUGUCGAGACUAAAUGCAAUUUGUUCAGUGCUGAGUGCAGAGAAAGAAAGGAAAGUAUUGCCCUGAGAUCACCCACUCCUGUGUUAAGGAAGAGGCAGCAGAGUAGGGAGGGGAGGGACCUGCCAGAGGAGCGCACAGCCACAGCCGCAGUGACCAUCUCCAGGGGCAGAUGGCAGAUGGCUUUUAAGCCUCCAAUAGGACAGAGGAUAUUUGGUGGGCAGUUCUCCCAGCAGGAUGGAGGAGAGGCGAUGGGAGUCCCUCCAGUUUCUGGUCUCUGCUUGCACACCUUGCCUGAGAGAGAGAGCUCAUGCUUACCUGGCUGCCUAUGUGAACUAGCCCAGCUGCAGCUCUGGGAAGCCCACCCUGAGUGAGGCAUCAUUUCCCUCAAGCUCCCUGCCACAGUUCUCUGCAUCCUAACCUAUAUGCACUCCCAAUCCCAAGUUUUUGUCUUCACAUUCUCUAUCUGAACUGAGGCUGGGGUCAGGGCAGAGGUCUGGGUUUCUGCAUCCCACAUGGUUCUGAUACCAAUGGGAUCUGUCCUGGGUAGACCGUGCCUAUAAUUCUGUCUAUAAUGGCUGGGGUGGGGAUUAUAGGUCAGAGUGUCCCCACCUGGUGUGAGCUGGAAGGGUACAUGGUCUGCUUCCUGGAUGCCUAGCCUGUUACCCUGCAUGUCUUUCCUGGCCUGACUAAGCUGAGGAUGGACACAAGCCCAUGGGUAGAGGCAGGCCCAGAUAGUCGGCUUCAUGCACAUCAACAGACAAGUGGGGCAUUCCCAUGAGUUCCUUGCUCAGCAUGCAUCUAUUUGGCCCCUGUGAUGCAUACUGGGCCCUCAGAACUGAAUUAGAUGCAGAUACAACCUCUGCCCUCUGUAGCUGGAGGUCUGGACAAGUAUGUGGGAGACAGCAGGGGACAAUAAAAAAACAAAAAAAAACAAACCUGUAUCCUUGACUUACCAAUAAAAUCAGCUCCAGACUUUUGGAAGCAAAAUCCUUCAAAAUCCACCUUAUACCUGGCAGCUAUAGGGGGAUCUGAGGAAUUCACCCCUGGUCUGGUUCCCCAUCGCCAGACCCGGAGGCCCUGAGUGCUGUCUCGUCCCUCCUACCUCCUCCUCCUCCACUCCAACUGCCCUGGAUGCUUUCAGGUUUAAUGGCCUCUCUGACUAUCUGGACUCUGUCCAGGUUUUUCUUUCUGUCUGGAAACAUAUUCUCCCUGUUUCACCUGCAACCUCCUGCUUGCUCUGCUGAGCCAGCCUCCCAAACCUCCUCCCAGAGUAACUUCCCCAGUCCCCUGAUUCCUGCUCCUGUAGCCCCCUCCACUGUUCUUGGAGGACUCAUGGAACAUGUAAUUAGUUCCUUCAGUGUGUGCUUUUUUGACUGACACAUGCCCCUCUGACAAAGGACAAGCUAUGAUUUUCUUGGUCGCUGUUAUAGCCCAUCGCCCAACUCCCAGGAUGAGCCCAGACCAUGUGCUUAAUCAAUAUAUAUAUCAAGUGUUGACUAAAUGAAUGUAAAAACUAGUGUUCCUAUUUAUAGAAAUUUAAGUUCAUGCUGAUAACAGCGACAGUGCAUGUAUAUACCCACAUGCUGAGGAUGUUGCAAAGAUGUUUAUGCAUAAGCCCAAAAUGUAGCCAUCCCAGAGCCAGCCCCAAUGUCCCUGGUAGCCGUAAAGUGAUCAGCAACAGUAGUGACACUGGUCAUGUGUUGGAUGUUGCCUCAGCACCAAAUGAGUGAGGAUUUUUUUUUUCCAGUGAAAUAGCAUAUAUUUUUUUUAAUAUUUAUUUUUUUAGUUGUAGUUGGACACAAUAUAUUUAUUUUUUUUUAAGAGAGAGAGAAUUUUUUAAUAUUUAUUUUUUAGUUUUCGGCGGACACAACAUCUUUGUUUGUAUGUGGUGCUGAGGAUCGAACCCGGGUCGCACGCAUGCCAGGCGAGCGCGCUACCGCUUGAGCCACAUCCCCAGCCCCACAAUAUCUUUAUUUUAUUUAUUUAUUUUAUAUGGUGCUGAGGAUCAAACCCAGGUUCUCGCAGGUGUUAGGAGAGCGCUCUACCGCUGAGCCACAAUCCCAGCCUGAAAUAACAUAUUUAAGUGCAAGAAUUCAAAUAUCCAACUAGGUAGAGCAAAGAUUCAUUCAUCAACAUAGAUUUCUUCAUCUAGGAGUUGACUGAACACCAAGGUCAUGAACAGAUAGACAGACAAACCCUGCCUUUGCACAAAUUGGCAUCAUGCUGAGGCCAGGAAGAGAAGUAGACUCCAGGGGGCUGACCUUUGACCUUUGACCAAAGGGAAGAGUAGACACUUGUUCCAGUGGGCUAUUCACUCUCUGAACACUGCUGCUGUCUGCAGAGAGGUACAAACUGACUCCAUCUUACAGACCCAGGCUAGCCUGGGACCCUGAAAGCACCUGUUCCUUUGCUGGAGGACAAUACCAGUGGCCCAGGCUCUCCGGGACCAGCAUUCAAGGAGCCAUUAGGGCUCAUAUGGACCAAGAGGCCCACAGACAGGCUCAUGCAUUCCUCUUCUACAAAUGCCCACUCCACAGCCUGGAAAUCUAGCCUCCAACCAUGGCUGCUAAGAGUCUUGUAUUGGUCACGGAUCAAAGCAGCCCUUCCCUGUUUCCAGGUCAUGACUGCUUGUGUGCUGAUGACCAGAGACUCUGUGAUGUGUGUGUUGGUGCAGGAGGAUGCAGGGUAUGGGUUGCUCUGGGAGGAAACAAUAAGUGCUCUUUGAGAACCAGAUCUUGCCUCUCCUCAAGUUCCCAAGGUUAGACCUUGUCUCUCCCUUCAGAUCGGGGUCUCACCAGGGUCAAAGGCCUAGAAUCUUCAGUUUGUGCUGACGUGCAUAGGCCCGGGUCUUCACCCAGCUGUUCCCAGCCCAGGCAGGGAGGGCUCUGAAGGACACAGACAGCUCUCCCUCCCUCUGUCAGGACACUAGGCCAUUUAUCAGGGAGAUAAACAGUAGCCAGAGGGCAGAGUUGGCGGAAGGAAUUGUCUGGAGGAGAUAACCUGGGGUCAUUCAAAGGGCACAGAAGGAAUCGUGUCUCCUCUCUGGGGCUAUCCAAACCCCCACACAGGUACCCGCCCCCACACUUACUGGCAAUUGACACUUAAGGCUCCCGUGAACAGCUUGCUCCAGCCACAGCUAGUGGGUAUGUUUCCUCUUGGUAUUCUGUACCAUGGCAGGGCCCCAUGAUUUUGUCUCACCUAUUACAGAUGGGAAAACGGGCUUUGGAGCUGCACUUACCAGAGAGAACAAGGACAGGGCUCUGAACCUGCUCUGGGCCCUCCUGAGCAGGGUGGGAUAGAGGGACCUUUCUGGUGCUGCAUCACUGGGUACUUAGUGUACGCGUCCCCAUGUGUCUGGCCUCUGUGCUGUUCCCACCACCCUGUAUCCUUUUCUAGACAGAGACAAUUCCCAGAGAGGUGAGGUCACCAGCCCAAGGUCACAUCUCUAGGAAGACAGGUUUAAAGGCAGGCCUCUGGGACUGUAUCCAGAGACCAAGAUGAUCAUUGAGCAGCAAUCUCUUCCAGUGUGGCCUCAGUGGGGCCUCACCCGAAAGAGGCUGGAAAAAAACACUGUGAAGCAAACAGCUCUGGGAUCCUUAUGGCCAGCUAAAAGCUGUCACCCCCAAAUUGUUAGAAUGGCCCUGAGUUGUUCUGUACAUGCUCUCUCCCUACCUUGGCCCUCAGUAGAGCUCCAUAAAUACUUCUGAACAAAUUAUUAACUCAAAGCCAGAUACUGUGGUGCACGCCUGUAAUCCCAGCUACUCAGGAGACUGAGGCAGGAGGAUUGCAAGUUUGAGGCCUCUGUCAGCAACUCAGCAAGACCUGUCUCAAAAAUAAAAAUGAAAAGGACUGGGGGUAUAGCUUAAUGGUAGAGUGUUUGCCUAGCAUAUGCUAGGCCCUAGGUUUGAUCUCAAGUGCACAUGUGCAUACAACCCCCCCCCCCAAAAAAAAAACCCUCAAUAAUGAAAAAUGACAAAUUUUUCUGUAUAAUCCCAUAUUCAGGGAUUCACAUAUUGGUCUUGCUCCUCUCUGCCUAGGACACACCUAUCUAUCAUUUGCUGGAUCUUCAUGAAUGCCCCAUCAAAAAAAAAAACAACACCGUGGCUUUUUCAGAAUCAGAAGCAAAGUCCAGGCCUUGGAUGGCAGAAAUGGAGAGGAGAUGGAGAAGGAUGAGGAGACCCUUCACCUGGGCUCAUCAUCACUCAGUGCUGGAGACUUCUGCAGCCCUCACUAUUGGGGUUCCUAAGGGCUGGUAUAUUCUGGGUGUUGAAGGACCCAGGCCAAGGGACGGCGCAGGGCCAGGCUUGGGGAUUCACCAUGUCUUUCCUCUCUGCUCCAAUGUCCAGGGCAGUGGAUUUGAGCCAGAAUGAGUCAGGGACUUUUCUGGGAAGUAUUUCCCACACUGGGAGCCCUGGAAAUCAUCUGCAGGUAGUGGGAGUCUUGGGUGGGACUUUGAGGACCUCAGACAUUUCUGCCCAUAACUGCCUUCCAGAAGAUUCUGGGUCCUCUUUAGCCUGGACCAUGUUAAGGUGGCCAGGGGCCUCCACCUUUAUACACGAUCAUCUCAUUGGUUACUGAGGGUGUAAAAGUGUUUUGUUGUUGUUGUUGUUGUUGUUGCAUGACUCUGGUGGAGUCAUCUCAUGUUAACCUAUAGGGAGCUGCAAGCCUCCAAUCCUCAGGACACAAGCACCUGACUGCCCCCCCACCCCCGAACUACAGACCAGGUCCAGGCACCCUUCUCAGAAAAGUCCCACCCUAAGGAAGUAGCCCUAUCGGUUGUGUCGUUGAGUGAAGGCAUUGCUGGCAGCAGGACCCCAAAUCGAUUGGGUCCAGCACCUGGGGACAGAUGAGGCAUAUGAGGAUAAUAUCUUCAACAAAAGAAACCUGGAGAAUAACACCACACCAGCUUCCAGAUAAUGCCUCAUUUAAUUAUUUCCCAGGAUCACAUAAGGUUUGCACAAUUAUUAAUUUCCAUUUUACAGAUGAAGAGCUGAGGCUCCAAAGGGUUAAAUCCCCUUGCCCAGCAUUACAGAGCAUCAACAGGCUCAACACCUAGUGCACAUGCUAGUGGCCAAGACUCCGAAGUGUGUCUCACUGCUCACAAGCACACUCCUGGCAAGGGGAUCUGUUCCAGCCUGGCUUGGGCUGAACUUGAACAGGAUGGAACAAAGGAACCUUGGUGUCCCUGUUCCCCUGUGGCAACCCUGGGCCUGGUUGCACUAUGGGAGAAUGGAGGCUUCCAGGGCAGUGGUAAUACCCAGGGUGAAUGUGGCACCAGAGGACAGAGAGGGUACAAGUGAGGCGGGAGGGGCGAAACAGACAGCCGAGACAAGCAGGGGCAGGACUGUACCCUCUCAGGCAAGGCAUUUUGGGGGACAGGUCAUGGCCUUGGUGCUUCCCUAUCUCCACCCUUAGCCCUUUACCUGCCUGACUGUUCCUGGCUCAGGAGACUGAAGUGAGUGAAGCCAGGUAGCUUCUGGCAGACUCUCCUUGGCCGAGGGCCAGUUGGGGCACUGUGCCAGGCUCGGCUUCUCCAUCUGUUAAAUGGGGCAAGUGAUGGCAGAGUGUGGGAGAACUGCAGGCCUGGGAAUGCCCACCAGGAAGUAACCAGCAACUGCAGGCUCCUUACAGCCAGGUCCUUCUCAUCUUUGCGGCCUGCCUAGGUCCCCGUUCACUUUAAUGCCACCACUUUCCUCACCUGACAGCUGUGGAAUCUGACUGGCCUCAGUUAGACUGCUCCUCCCCGCCUCUCAGCAAUCUGUGCUCUGAGUGGAGCGCUGCCAGAAACAGGCCCAGGAUAGGGGCCACCGGAACCCUGUGCUGACCAGAGGAGGCUCCAUUUGUCUAACCUCUGUGACCCCCAGCCCACCAGGCUCAGCGCGGUUCUGCAUGUCUCUCUCAGCUGGGUGAGGUUCAGGGCAGUCUCCUCAGAGUCUGCUGAGAACUGGCCAUGAAAGGUCCGCUGAGAUCUCCCCACCCUCUGCACCAUGGCAGCCACUGAAGUUGGGGACCCAAUCCUCCAAGAGUGUCCCCUCCUCAUCCCUGUCAAGGCUUUGCUGCCCUCCUGCUUCCCUUCCCUCAGUGCAACUACCAGACCCUGCUCCCACCAGUCCCUUCCCCCUCCUCAGCAGGUGGAGGCUCCAUUCUCAUGCCCCACAUUCCACCACCUGGUGCCCAGGAAGCUUCUCAGGUGCCUGAGACCAGGGCUGGUAGGUCUCCAGGCUGAGACUGGCCAAGAGACCGAGAAGCAUGCCACUCUGUGAGGAGAGCAGAAGGACUGGGGACAGGAGAUCACUGAGGGCAAUCACUUGAUUCUCUGAGUCAAACUGGGGCACUUGCCUGGCAGGCUGUGGGGAGAGAAGAUGAAGCUGGCCCUUGGCAUGGAGUCUCCGGGCUGGAGUUGGCACUUGUUCUACAGGAGGAAGCCACCAGGGUUAAUCACCAAGACCGCCCAAGAGGCGGACCA
rnacentral:lncRNA from 1 species